GUGAUUCCAGGGAAUGGCACUUGCUCAGACCACCUAAGAUCAGAGAGAAAUGAAGUGUCCCCUCUUCUAUCAACACCACAGGUAUAUGCCUCUUACUCGUAACUUUUGAUUGGCUGAAAAAAAAAAAUUGAAUGAAUGAAACUAUGAUGGUUUUGAAACAAAGCAAAAGCAUUGACAAUGACAUAACUUGUGACCAUAGUUGCUUAUGGGAAAUGCAUUGUAUAUAUAUAUAUAUAUAUAUAUAUAUAUAUAUAUAUAUAUAUAUAUAUAUAUAUAUAUAUAUAUAUAUAUAAUACAUUGUUUUCACUCAUAAUUAGGUUAUUCAAGUAAGCUAUUAAUUUUCCACUAUUGAUGUCUUGUGCUGCAUGCAGAUUUUUAGGCUGCAAACCCAUCCUUCAGUUUAGUUUGACUGGUCUGUCUGGAUUUAUGUGUUUUCAGGUCACUGAGAAUAAUAGUGAACAGCAUGUGGAUGGAGGCGUCGAUGCUGACUCUCUAACUCGACCCAAGUGGUCAAGGGAGCUGCGGAGGGUCAAGAGAGAACUAAAUGAGGUGGUGGUGUGGAAAUUCAAAUUAUGGACAGUGCUACUCUUCAUCUUUAUUACCAUUGCUCUGGUUAUUGGGAUCUCAAUUAUUGUGUGUGCAGUUGUUCAUGAUGAUGAGGAUGAAAAAUAUGACAAAUCCUCAUUUGUGGUGGGACGCUUCUUCAGAGGAAAUUUCACUCUGGAUGCUAACAGCUUCAUUUCAAACUCUCCGGAUGAAGAGACUAUGAGAGAGCUGGAAAAGCAGGUAAUAACAAAAAUGACCUAUUCAGUACUAGAAAUUGUAGAUCCAUGUGAAGCAUUUUUGAGAAAUCAUUCAUAA
rnacentral:lncRNA from 1 species